CAGUAGCCGCGGGAAUACAGAGGGUGCGAGCGUUAAUCGGAUUUACUGGGCGUAAAGCGUGCGUAGGCGGCUUUUUAAGUCGGAUGUGAAAUCCCUGAGCUUAACUUAGGAAUUGCAUUCGAUACUGGGAAGCUAGAGUAUGGGAGAGGAUGGUAGAAUUCCAGGUGUAGCGGUGAAAUGCGUAGAGAUCUGGAGGAAUACCGAUGGCGAAAGCACUCUGCUGGGCCGACACUGACACUGAGAGACGAAAGCUAGGGGAGCAAAUGGGAUUAGAUACCCGAGUAGUCCCUGUCUCUUAUAA
rnacentral:rRNA from 1 species